GAAAAAAAUUAAAGGGUAACCGACUUUUUCGCAAAAAAAAGACCGCUUUAGUGCCUACGGGAAAGAAAAAGGUAGAGAAAAAUACAAGGAUGCGAGUAAAAUUCGAACCCGGAUGCCUCUCGGCGGGAGACGACGAGUAGAAACGGCAGAAAACGACUUUGACGCGGACUCGUUCGGCUCCGAUAACGUUUCUUCUCGGACGCGGACGACGACAUUUUUACUCGGUUAACCCGAACUAAAGGGCGUCGCUAAGAAAGACGCGGGCAUAAAACAUCGGAAGCGGCAGCCGAGAUAUUUGCCGUCGGUUCGUUCCGUUUUCCCUCUUGGUCUCGUGCCGGAGUUUGAAGACUCGGCGGAGUUCGACAAAUGUAAACAAAGGGCGGAAGUCGGUCGUCGCUUUUGGCCUAAAUGUCGAAAUGUUGCGUCGUUCAGCUUGGUUGCUGUUGUGGUUGCCGUACCUGUCGUUUAUGUUGCAGAAUUUGCCCAACAGUUAAUGAAUCUACUUCCACACGUCUCAUGUACACACUAUUUUUAUUAUUUAGUGCAAUUGUUAUGUCUCUUAUGCUAAGUCAUGAAAUUCAGGAAAAAAUUAUUGAAAAAUUUCCAUCAUACAAUGUAACUUGUGUGGCAAUCAGAGCGGGUGAAAACUGCCAGUUAUUAAUAGGAUAUUUGGCCGUUUACCGAGUUGCUUUCACCAUGGCAUCUUUUUUCUUUUUAUUGGCAGUAUUAACAAUAGGAGUCUCUACUAGUCAGAGUUGGAGAGCAGGUGUACAUAAUGGGUAUACCUUGCCUUACGUCGGUAAUUGGUUCCAGGAGAAUGACAAUGUGGCUUUGGAAAUUUUUGUUUUUGUGUGGCAUUUGCUUCUCAAUUUUUCUUCUCUCACCAGAAAUGUUAAAUUGGUUCAGUAAAGUUUGGAGAUAUGUAGGAAUGUCUGGAGCUUUUCUGUUCAUCAUUAUCCAGUUAGUACUCAUUGUUGAAUUUGGUCGCCGAUGGACUUGCAGUUGGAGAAGUAAAGCAAUUGAGAGAGGAAGCAAAUGCUGGUUUGUUCGUAAGUCUAUUUUAAAAAUAAAUUAACAUAUUUAGUAAAUUCAGUAUAUAUAUUACAAUUUUUGUAAGUAAUUAUCUAUGUUUUUAAUUAAUGUCAAUAAUCCUAGUUCUAUUAAUUUUUGCUGAUGAUAGAUGAUAUGAAUACUCCAAUGAUUUGAUUGCUUUGUAUUUUCAUAUUAAAUUGACAUUUAAUAUGAAACAACAAAUCCUUGUUUCCAAGUAGUGUCACAUUUGUAAAUUAUUAAAAUACUUUUUUUCUGUUUGUUAUUCUUAAUCAUUACAUAUAAAUAAAUUUAUUCACUAAUAUAUAAUACAGAAGACUCUUGAUAAAGUGGAAGGGACAGAGAAAUCUUCAUUUUAAUGAAAUUGUAAGUUUCAUAAACUACAGUUAUUUUAAUGAGAUUGUAAAUAGAUCAGAGUUUUUUUGGUUAUUUUUGAACACAUUUAUUAUGAAAGAAGUCAACGUAACAAAUGCUUAUGUAUAUUUUAUAUUUGCUCAACAUGCUUUCUGUUAUUUCUGUAAAUUGCCUGACAAUGCUAUUUUCUCAAAUUGAUCAGCUUUCUGACCAUUUCAAUAUAAAUAUUGAACCACUCCUAUGUGAAACUUUCCAAACACCAUCUAAUGUUGUUGUUUUGGUUAAACAUUUUCUGUUUCAGCCAAUCAAAGCCAAAGAAGUCAACAUGAAUGGCAUUGCAACUGUUUAUUGAUAUGUCCUUCUCAUUGUUGUAGCUAAUUCCAUUUUCUGAAGGAAGUUCUCAAGAUUGUUCUGUCAACCACAGGUAUGUGAGCUUGUUGUGUCAUGAUGCAGAAACACUUUGUGCAUAUCUUUGCAGUACAUAAAGUAUAUGGCAGAUGGUCUUCAAACAAUGGUUUCAGAAUGUGAUCAAUAUAGUACUGUCCAGAUAUUUUCACUAUCAAGAAUACUCUAAUAAGCAGAAGUGGGUCUUUUCCCAACAAACAAUCUGCAAGUGAAUUAUUGUGAAUAGUUUUCUCUAUGUUAACAUACCCAAUCUUCUCUGUGUUUCACGGAGAAAAUUUUUUAGGUGUUAUUAAAAUUCAGGUACACACAACAUUCAUCCAAAGUCACAGCAAAUUUACUUCUUUUGUUUGCCAAAUGCAUUUCAUUCAACUGUUUUGUGUUGUUCUUGUAUGGUAAUUUUUUUUUUUGUUGUAAUCUGAUAGCUUAUGAACAUUGGUCUUUACCAGUUUGUUCAUGUUCAAAUCUUAUGAAUACUGUAAUGUGAUUAAUGAAUGAUGGUAACACUUGAUACUUCUUUGCCAAUGCUAUUUGGGUCAGAGGAUUUGGUGAAGUUAUGGAAUUCUUUACCUUUUCGAUGAGCUUCUUUGUUCUAGCCAUGUCUGGUCAUCUUUUCUUUGGAAUAGGUUGGUUUUCUCUGUGUGAUUUCCAGGUGAUUUUGACAUCAUUUAAGUUGUUAGAGAUUGUACCUUUAGAAACUCUAAUGUCGUCCUCCAAAAGUCUCUGCUGGAUUUGGCUCUAUGACAUUCAAAGUUUGGAAAGAGUUCAGAUCACCAACUCCUUUUCAUAGAUCAAUAUAUUAGAAUGAAGAAAGAAUAUUCAAACAUUCUUUGUUGACUAUAGUAUGACUACCUUUAUGAUGCAGUGAAGUUUAUUUCUCAAAUGUUUUUGGCCUUCUUAAUUGACUUUCUAGAAUAAAUUAACAUUUUCAUUUGUUUUUGAAUUAUAAAUUUUUGAAAGUCAAUUAAGAAGACUGAAGACUGAGAAAUAAACUUUUACUGUUCUGUAUAGGUAGUCUCAGUAUGAUUAUUAAUAAUGCAGUUACCAAUAGUAGUUCUUUGAUUCUGAAAUUUGAAUCAAUGUAAAAUGUUACAUGUACAAUAAUAACUGGAAGUGUGUGCUGUUUUUUUCACUAAUAAGACUGCAAACUGAUUCAAAAAUAACUGAAUAACAAUGAACAAAGCUGGAACUAUGAUUAACCUGUAAUUCUCAACAACAUCCUUGCAUUUCCAGCAAACACAUUUAUUAACAACACAAACAUUUUCAUCAUAUUUCCUAAGCCUGAAUCAGGUUUCAUAUUCUAGCUUCAAUUUAAUAGCAUUCAAAAUUAGAAUGUUACUCAG